rnacentral:rRNA from 1 species
GUGCCAGCCGCCGCGGUAAUACGUAGGUGGCAAGCGUUGUCCGGAUUUACUGGGCGUAAAGCGUAUGCAGGCGGAUGCCUAAGUAAGAAGUGAAAGGCGAGAGCUCAACUCUUGGACUGCUUCUUAUACUGGGCGUCUUGAGUGCCGGAGAGGAAGACGGAACGACACGUGUAGCGGUGAAAUGCGUUGAUAUGUGUCGGAACACCAAUGGCGAAAGCAAUCUUCUGGACGGAUACUGACGCUGAGAUACGAAAGCCAAGGUAGCGAACAGGAUUAGAUACCCUGGUAGUCUUGGCCGUAAACGAUGCUCACUAGGUGUUGGGGCUUAGCCUCGGUGCCGCAGCUAACGCAUUAAGUGAGCCGCCUGGGAACUACGGCCGCAAGGUUGAAACUCAAAGGAAUUGGCGGGGGCCCGCACAAGCGGUGGAGCAUAUGGCUUAAUUCGAUGCAACGCGAAGAACCUUACCAGGGCUUGACAUGUUCCUGCAAGCCGCCGAAAAGCGGUCGCCUUCGAGGGUGGAGCACAGGUGGUGCAUGGCUGUCGUCAGCUCGUGUUGUGAAAUGUUGGGUUAAGUCCCGCAACGAGCGCAACCCUCAUGUUCUGUUACCAGCGAGUAAUGUCGGGGACUCGGAACAAACUGCCUCUGUAAAGAGGAGGAAGGUGGGGAUGACGUCAAGUCAUCAUGCCCCUUACGCCCUGGGCUGCACAUAUGCUACAAUGGCCGGUACAAAGAGGUGCGAAUGCGCGAGCACAAGCAAAUCUCAAAAAGCCGGUCUCAGUUCGGAUUGGAGUCUGCAACUCGACUCCAUGAAGUCGGAAUCGCUAGUAACCGCAGGUCAGCAAUACUGCGGUGAAUACGUUCCCGGGCCUUGCACACACCGCCCGU